CUUGAGAGCGGCGGACGGGUGAGUAAUGCCUAGGAAUCUGCCUGGUAGUGGGGGAUAACGUUCGGAAACGGACGCUAAUACCGCAUACGUCCUACGGGAGAAAGCAGGGGACCUUCGGGCCUUGCGCUAUCAGAUGAGCCUAGGUCGGAUUAGCUAGUUGGUGAGGUAAUGGCUCACCAAGGCUACGAUCCGUAACUGGUCUGAGAGGAUGAUCAGUCACACUGGAAGGGAGACACGGUCCAGACUCCUACGGGA
rnacentral:rRNA from 1 species